rnacentral:rRNA from 1 species
GAUGAACGCUCGUUGCGUACCUAAUACAUGCAAGUCGAGCGAACGGACGAGAAGCUUGCUUUUCUGAUGUUAGCGGCGGACGGGUGAGUAACACGUGGAUAACCUACCUAUAAGACUGGGAUAACUUCGGGAAACCGGAGCUAAUACCGGAUAAUAUUUUGAACCGCAUGGUUCAAAAGUGAAAGACGGUCUUGCUGUCACUUAUAGAUGGAUCCGCGCUGCAUUAGCUAGUUGGUAAGGUAACGGCUUACCAAGGCAACGAUGCAUAGCCGACCUGAGAGGGUGAUCGGCCACACUGGAACUGAGACACGGUCCAGACUCCUACGGGAGGCAGCAGUAGGGAAUCUUCCGCAAUGGGCGAAAGCCUGACGGAGCAACGCCGCGUGAGUGAUGAAGGUCUUCGGAUCGUAAAACUCUGUUAUUAGGGAAGAACAUAUGUGUAAGUAACUGUGCACAUCUUGACGGUACCUAAUCAGAAAGCCACGGCUAACUACGUGCCAGCAGCCGCGGUAAUACGUAGGUGGCAAGCGUUAUCCGGAAUUAUUGGGCGUAAAGCGCGCGUAGGCGGUUUUUUAAGUCUGAUGUGAAAGCCCACGGCUCAACCGUGGAGGGUCAUUGGAAACUGGAAAACUUGAGUGCAGAAGAGGAAAGUGGAAUUCCAUGUGUAGCGGUGAAAUGCGCAGAGAUGUGGAGGAACACCAGUGGCGAAGGCGACUUUCUGGUCUGUAACUGACGCUGAUGUGCGAAAGCGUGGGGAUCAAACAGGAUUAGAUACCCUGGUAGUCCACGCCGUAAACGAUGAGUGCUAAGUGUUAGGGGGUUUCCGCCCCUUAGUGCUGCAGCUAACGCAUUAAGCACUCCGCCUGGGGAGUACGACCGCAAGGUUGAAACUCAAAGGAAUUGACGGGGGCCCGCACAAGCGGUGGAGCAUGUGGUUUAAUUCGAAGCAACGCGAAGAACCUUACCAAAUCUUGACAUCCUUUGACAACUCUAGAGAUAGAGCCUUCCCCUUCGGGGGACAAAGUGACAGGUGGUGCAUGGUUGUCGUCAGCUCGUGUCGUGAGAUGUUGGGUUAAGUCCCGCAACGAGCGCAACCCUUAAGCUUAGUUGCCAUCAUUAAGUUGGGCACUCUAAGUUGACUGCCGGUGACAAACCGGAGGAAGGUGGGGAUGACGUCAAAUCAUCAUGCCCCUUAUGAUUUGGGCUACACACGUGCUACAAUGGACAAUACAAAGGGCAGCGAAACCGCGAGGUCAAGCAAAUCCCAUAAAGUUGUUCUCAGUUCGGAUUGUAGUCUGCAACUCGACUACAUGAAGCUGGAAUCGCUAGUAAUCGUAGAUCAGCAUGCUACGGUGAAUACGUUCCCGGGUCU